GGACGAUUAGCUCAGUUGGUUAGAGCGCCUCGUUUACACCGAGGAGGCCGCUGGUUCGAGUCCAGCAUCGUCCACCA
rnacentral:tRNA from 1 species